rnacentral:rRNA from 1 species
UGGGGAAUAUUGCACAAUGGAGGGAACUCUGAUGCAGCAACGCCGCGUGCGGGAUGACGGCCUUCGGGUUGUAAACCGCUUUCAGCCAUGACGAAGCUUUUGUGACGGUAGUGGUAGAAGAAGCACCGGCUAACUACGUGCCAGCAGCCGCGGUGAUACGUAGGGUGCGAGCGUUGUCCGGAAUUAUUGGGCGUAAAGAGCUUGUAGGCGGUUUGUCGCGUCGAAAGUGUAAACUCAGUGCUUAACGCUGAGCCUGCUUUCGAUACGGGCUGACUAGAGGAGGGUAGGGGAGAAUGGAAUUCCCGGUGGAGCGGUGGAAUGCGCAGAUAUCGGGGGGAACACCAGUGGCGAAGGCGGUUCUCUGGACCUUUCCUGACGCUGAGAAGCGAAAGCGUGGGUAGCAAACAGG